GAUGAACGCUAGCUACAGGCUUAACACAUGCAAGUCGAGGGGCAGCACAGUGUAGCAAUACACGGGUGGCGACCGGCGCACGGGUGCGUAACGCGUAUCCAAUCUUCCCGUUACUCUUGGAUAGCCUUCCGAAAGGGAGAUUAAUACAAGAUGGUAUUCAAAUUCCGCAUGUUAUUUGAAUUAAAGAUUUAUCGGUAACGGAUGGGGAUGCGUGACAUUAGGUAGAUGGCGGGGUAACGGCCCACCAUGCCUACGAUGUCUAGGGGUUCUGAGAGGAAGGUCCCCCACACUGGAACUGAGACACGGUCCAGACUCCUACGGGAGGCAGCAGUGAGGAAUAUUGGUCAAUGGCCGGAAGGCUGAACCAGCCAAGUAGCGUGAAGGAUGAAGGUUCUAUGGAUUGUAAACUUCUUUUAUAUAGGAAUAAAGCCCACUACGUGUAGUGGUUUGUAUGUACUAUAUGAAUAAGCAUCGGCUAACUCCGUGCCAGCCGCCGCUGUAAGAC
rnacentral:rRNA from 1 species